AUACUUCUAAUGUGACGCCGAUAAGACAGCGUAGCUACACAUAACCCCAACUACAGUUUACUGUUGUACUGACCACAGCAUCAACAGAUACACAACGUAUUUCCUGUCUUUGUGGUACAGUUUGACAAAGUAGUCUUCCCCAGGUACUGUAGGCAAGGGUGUCACACAUUCGGAUUCACUCGACUAGUUUCGUCACCGACAUAAUACCUCGGGAAGCAAAGAUUGUCGUCUGCAAGUUCACAGCUCUGAACCCUGUCUCCCAAAUUCUACGCCAUGGAUGCCUUGAAUAUCUCCGAGAAGGGCCCCAGACCUGCGGAGGCUUUACCGUCGGCGAUGUCCAGUUUGAGACGACGUCGUCUGCUUCGUCUGGCGUCGGUGGAGGAGAUGACGAACCUGAGAACGCUGCAAGUAAAAACUGACGAUUUGAUAACCAACGAAGAUUCAACCUUUGCCCAUCCACGCUGGGGAAGAGGACGUCGAAUUCGGUUUUUAUCCACUGGAGAAAUGGCUGGACACGACAAGCGACCCAAUCAGCUGUUUGUGCCACGGAUUUCAGUGACACCUGUGGGACUACGAAAAAGCUUCAGGUGAGA